rnacentral:rRNA from 1 species
GAUUAAGCCAUGCAUGUGUAAGUAUAAAUAGUUAACUUUGAAACUGCGAAUGGCUCAUUAUAUCAGUUAUAGUUUAUUUGAUGAAGAAUACUAAUUGGAUAACCGUAGUAAUUCUAGAGCUAAUACAUGUAUAAAGUCUUGUAGACUGCAUUUAUUAGAAUGAAAACCAUAGGUUUCGGCCUAUUCGUGAGUAAUAAUAACUAAUCAUAUCGUAUGCUUAAGUAACGAUGUGUCUUUCAAGUUUCUGCCCUAUCAGCUUUCGAUGGUAGUGUAUUGGACUACCAUGGCAGUAACGGGUAACGAAGA